UCGGCGUGGCUAAGACAUGCAAGUCGAACGGACCCGUUAAUUUAUUAGCGGGUUAGUGGCGAAAGGGUGAGUAAUGGAUAGGUAACGUACCCCGAGCUCCGGGAUAGCCAUCCGAACGGGUGGGUAAUACCGGAUAACCUCACGAGUCGAUAGGCUCGUGAGCAAAGAUUUAUCGGCGCGGGAGCGGCCUAUCUCCUAUCAGCUAGUAGGUGAGGUAAUGGCCCACCAAGGCGAUGACGGGUAGCGGGACUGAGAGGUUGGCCCGCCACAUCGGAACUGAGACACUGUCCGGACCCCCACGGGGGGCUGCAGUAACGGAUCUUGGGCAAUGGGCGAAAGCCUGACCCAGCGACGCCGCGUGCGCGAGGAAGUCCUUCGGGAUGUAAAGCGCUGUCAGGGGUAAGAAAGUCCACUUCGGUGGAUUGAUCUAACCCAGAGGAAGUCACGGCUAACUCUGUGCCAGCAGCCGCGGUAAGACAGAGGUGGCAAGCGUUGUUCAGUAUCACUGGGCUUAAAGCGUGUGUAGGCGGGAACGUAAGCAUUUUGUGAAAUCCCCCGGCUUAACCGGGGCAUUGCUUGAUGGACUGCGUUUCUUGAGGCAAGUAAGGGUGCGAGGAACUCUUGGUGGAGCGGUGGAAUGCGUAGAUAUCAAGAGGAACGCCGGCGGUGAAGACUCGCACUGGGCUUGUCCUGACGCUGAGACACGAAAGCGUGGGGAGCAAACGGGAUUAGAUACCCCGGUAGUCCACGCUGUAAACGGUGCCUACUAGGUUGUGGCGGUUCUGACGCCGGCACAGCCGAAGCAAAAGUGUUAAGUAGGCCGCCUGGGGAGUACGGUCGCAAGGCUAAAACUCAAAGGAAUUGACGGGGGCUCACACAAGCGGUGGAGCAUGUGGAUCAAUUCGAAACAACGCGCAGAACCUUACCUGGGUUUGACAUGCUUGGAUGCCCGCCUGGAAACAGGUUGGGCUGCCCUUCGGGGUGAAACUUGCACAGGUGCUGCAUGGCUGUCGUCAGCUCGUGUCGUGAGAUGUCGGGUUAAGUCCCUUAACGAGCGAAACCCUUGCCGUUAGUUGCCAGCGGGUCAUGCCGGGGACUCUAACGGGACUGCCGGUGUUAAACCGGAGGAAGGUGGGGAUGACGUCAAGUCAUCAUGGCCUUUAUGCCCAGGGCAUCACACGUGCUACAAUGGCUGGUACAAAGCGACGCGGGACCGCGAGGUGGAGCCAAUCGUAAAAAACCGGCCCCAGUACGGAUUGCAGGCUGGCAACUCGCCUGCAUGAAGGUGGAAUCGCUAGUAAUCGCGAAUCAGCUAUGUCGCGGUGAAUGUGUUCCUGAGCCUUGUACACACCGCCCGUCAAGUGAUGGGAGUUGGAAGUACCCGAAGUCGGGUUGCUAACCCGCAAGGGAGGCGCCUGCCGACGGUAAGUCCGACGACUGGCACUAAGUCGUAACAAGGUA
rnacentral:rRNA from 1 species